GUGUACCUUUGGACUUUCUUCACUCUUUUGUUUGUUGUAGGAAAAAGAAGAAAAAGAGGACCUGCCCUCUGUGGACAGAGAGCUCAGCAAGGCCGCCCGUGCACGAGCAAUACUGCAGAGGAUCCUGCACUUUCACAAAAGCAAGUUUGGGCUGCGGUCUGAUGCACAAUCCCUGUGCCAACACUGUAUAAAGCUGUGCCCCAUAGCGUGCCACAAUGUCGGCUCCAUCCUGAUUUGGCAAACGGCCGGCGCUCACGUCUCUGAGAGCUUCGUCAAAGGGCACAAGCUCAGCAGGAAAGGGCAGAUGGGGCAAGCCACGUCCCGAAUUACU